CACAGUAAAUAGAUGAAACCCACUAGCAUGAGUAGGAGUUGUUUGAGCCCUGAUGUGCCUACUCAUUCAUGCUUGUUUGUCAUGCCUGCUAUUGCUUAGAGUUGUGUCAGGUCUGAUUCAUCGGGAAUGAAUCGGAGGUGUGUAAACAUGUCCUACUGUUGAGAGCUAAGUGUGUGAAUACGAUUUGGUAAAGGUAGCGGUGAGAGGCCGUGUAGGAGUACAUGGUGGGUUGUCUCAUUGCAGCCGUCCUCAGGAACUGAGUUCUGUGUUUGUGAUCCAUGAACAGUUACUACCACACAUUGGGUUCCGGUAACUCGACCCCUCUCGGCUUAUUAAUCAACUUGAUCUCUGUCCAGGAGUUGCAACUAGUUUCUGGUGUUUGUAGGUAGUGUUAGUAGUCUACCAAGUGGCACCCGGUACAGGUGGGCUUGGGACAUACUAGGCACAGUGGCACGGUGUACUAAGUGGCACCCGGAUGAUGGGCUUGGGAACCCUGCUCACAUCGUUUGGGGCCAUGAGCGACACCCCGGCCGGAUCUCCUUGCGGAUGGAACCCGAAUAGGCGAUAAACCUGGACGAGAGACUUGUGUGGUUAGUCAGGUCGUGGCCGACUCCCUCGCCCGACUUCCGCUUGAAGGUUGCUGAGGUACAUGACGUGUACAGGAGGAUAAGUGGCGAGAGCGUGUGUGAAGAAGUACACCCCUGCAGGGUUAUCAUUAUCUAUUCGAAUAGCCGGAUUCCUCGGAUAUGGAAACUUGGACCCCUUGCAUAGUUCAUAGACAAGUGAAAGUGGAUACUCUAAAAUACGCAAGAUAAGCGUGAGUGCUAUGGAUGGCGUUCUCGUAGGGAGACGGGAGCGGAUCCAUAGUGGAGUAUUGAUAUGGUGAAUAUGUGGACUCGUGUGCGCCACCUCAAAAGAGUUACUUGCAGUCGUAGUUUAGGAUAGCCACCGAGUCAAAGCUGGCUUGCUGCAGUUAAACCCCACCAUCCCUUUGUUGGUAAUGAUGCAUAUGUAGCUAGAUCUGAUGUAAGUCUUGCUGGGUACAUUUGUACUCACGUUUGCCUAUUUUAUGUUUUUGCAGAGAGACUUCAGUCUCGCUAGUAGUUCUGCUUGGACUUCGACGUUUAGCUUGUUACCUCAGCUACGAUCUUGUGCCCUCGGCAGGAUCUAGUAGAUAGUCAGGCUUCUCAGCCUUUUUCAUUUGUAGUUGUCUGUACUCAGACAUGUUAAGCUUCCGCAUGUGCUUUGACUUGUAUGCUCUAAAUGUUGGGUCAUGAGACCCAUGUUUGUAAUAUCUCUCUCCUCGGAGCCUAUUGAAUAAAUACUUGAGUCGUAGAGUCAUGUUGUGAUGCCAUGUUGUAUUUGCACAUAUCGAGCAUAUUGUGUGUAUGUUUUUGAAAUGCUUGGUAUGUGUGGGAUCUGACUAUCUAGUUGUUUAUCCUUAGUAGCCCCUCUUACCGGGAAAUGUCUCCUAGUGUUUCCACCGAGCCAUGGUAGCUUGCUACUGCUCCGAAACACUUAGGCUGGCUGGCAUGUGUCCUUCUUCGUUCCUGUGUCUGUCCCUUCGGGGAAAUGUCACGCGAUGAAUACCGGAGUCCUGUUAGCCCGCUACAGCCCGGUUCGCCGGAGUCCUGUUAGCCCAGUGCUACAGCCUGGAUUCACUCGCUGAUGACCGACACGUUCGAUGCUGGGUCAUGGAUGCCUGUCCCUGUAAGUUUGUGCCACUUUGGGUUUACGACUAGCCAUGUCAGCCCGGGCUCCUUAUCAUAUGGAUGCUAGCGACACUAUCAUAUAUGUGCGCCAGAAGGCGCAAACGGUCCCGGGCAAAGGUAAGGCAACACCCGUGGGGAUACCGUGCGUGAGGCCGCAAAGUGAUAUGAGGUGUUACAUGCUAGAUCGAUGUGGCAUUGAGUCGGGGUCUUGACAGCUUUGGUAUCAGAGCUUGACUGCCUGUAGGAUUACCAAGCCAAACUGGUCGAAGUUGAGUCUAGAAAUGCUUUAGUUAUAUGUAGGGGAAUUGAUUGUGGGAUGGAAAUGUAAGGCUCCUUUUACUCCUUAUCCCUUAUGCCCUUCUGAUCUGAGUCAUCCUCUUCUUUUCUACGGGGGUUAAGAACUAGGCUUCUCAUCUAUCUAUCAGGAUGACGUGUUACUAAUCCAUAGGCUUAUAGAAUUGAUAGUUUCAAAUCUCAGUUCAGCUUUUACUACUUCUGUAUGUUCACGGUUGGUCUCGAUACCUUGAUAUUGUGCUUCCGAGUGGCUAUGCCACCAUUUUUGUAGUGUGUCUCCAAACUUUUUGAGCAUUUAUAGUCGUUAUGCUGUCCGAGUCAUCCCAGGUUUCUAAACAAUCUGAUGCACUUGCAAAUCCUUUCCCUCUGGUUUUGAUGUUCCUUUGGGCCAGGUUAAUCACACUAAUUGCCGAGUUGAGGUAAUCUUUUACCUCGACAUAUAUGUUGGAGUUAUUAUUAUGACCCUAGGUGUUUUAGGGAGUCACCUAGUAAUUUAGCCAUGUUUAGUGUUCCCAGUGUGAAGAUUCUGGCCAUCAUUCUCGAAAGCAUCUCGUGAUGCUACUUAGGAGUAGGUAUUCUACUCCUGGGUUCUUGACCCAAGAUUCACUCCACUUACCUCAUGUUGAUAGUGUUGCUAGUUCCUUUAGGUUAUUAGUAACCUUUGUGAUAGUCCUCGAGAUUCGUGGUAUUUCCUUCUUCCAAAUACUAUGAACCGUUUAUGGCAGAAGUUCUUUGAACCAAAAGAUCACAACCAGAGCUCUUGAUGAGUUCUCGAUUCUAUGUUGUGACUCUGCCAGUUCUACCUUUCCGCAUGGAUUGUCCGGAAGAAAUAUGUCGAACUCGUUCGACAUUCUAAUCCAUGCAUCCACAACUCAGAAAAUCGUAUGUUCUUUUGAGUUGCCCCCCUUAGUCGUCUUCUGACCCUCAUCUAUCAAUUGAUAGUCAAGAGAAUGCGUGCAUUCGUCCAUCGAUGCCUAUUACUCUUGUGGUCCGUCAAGUCAUUCUAUUUCGGAAUGACUAGGAGAAACAAACUCAAGUACCUUGUCCAUUUCCAGGAUUGGGUCAAAGCAGUCGUACUCCGCAGAUCAAAUUGCUAAUCUAGCUUUUGAUUCUAUUCUACCCUGAAGUAUUACCAUCUUAUGUCAAGAAUGUCAUGGGAAUUGCACACCAUCUUAUGAAUUCUUGAUACCGUGAUAUUUCUCGCCAUCAUUAUUCAUUUCUCGGUCCCCGUGUUGUUGCAACCGGAAUGCCGACAGGUGAACUAUGAUGCGUGAAAUCAAUACUCCGAGCAACUCGUUGCUUGGUAGUAAAUGGACAAUAUUCUCAUUCUUAGCGUGUUGGUUAUUGAAUCAUCGUCCUAAGAUAGAUCGUGCUACCUAGUCCUUAUUUCCGGUGCACCUCUUGAUCAAUGAGUUAGGGCUAUGCCAAUCCCUUGGUUAUUUGAUCAUAUCGUCUUGCCCUGAAAAGCAAGAUUGUUCUCGAGCUUAGUAACAUAUCGGUGGUUCGUGAUUUUCUGAAUAUCUUCUCGGAAGUAUCACCAGGUCGUCACUUGACCGCUAUGUUGAGUUCGUGAGCAAGUUGGUUGCUUGUAACCACCCCUUCUCCAAGAAUCCGUGUUGGGUACCCCUGAGCUAGUUGGUUAAGCUGAACAACAACUUGGAGAGUUGGAAGAUAAAAGCUUGUCCGACUUAGUUCAUUUCCAAAGGGAUAUCCUUGUGCGUGUGUGUUGAAGAAAGAUGAUAUCUCCAUCGAUUGGUCCUCGUGAUCAGUUUGUUGGAUCUAUUACCUUGUUAAAUCUUUGAUUUGAGUAUGGGCUAUCAUCAAAUCAAAUCAGAACCAACGGUAUUCAUAAUGUUGUCUUACUCGCGGUUGUCCCUCAGGCAUACACCAUUAUAUCUUUUGGUCUGACCAAUGCUAUCACCGUGUUCACAUGAUGGCGGAAGUCCAGUGAUAUAGAAAUUUCGAUGAGUUGCUGUUGAGCCCAUCAGCAGCAUUUUGUCUCCCCCAUUACUCAUGUUGAACAUCAACCUAGUGUUGGAAACUUUUAUAAGCAUUAUCUUCAUGUUCCAUCCGUGAAGAAUAUGUUGGAUGAAAGAAGUGACUUUCUCUGAUUCACGUGCAUCUGGUGCAAGUUGCCGCCGUAAGUUCGAGAAAGAUUGUUUUGUUUCCUUUGGUACCAUCCCAAGUCAGUCAUGCAUGUGCUAGGUAUACUAUGGUUUGGUAGAUUAAUUACCUCCACUCCACCGGUAUUCCGUAGCACACCAAGCCACUAACUGAUUUGUUCAAGGACAAGAAGUUCCUUCAUAAGAGCUAAUCAUGACUUAUGUUAGGACUUCGUUAUCCUCGAUGAUGGUUCCCCACCUGAACUCGGUAGUGUUUUAUUUAUAAGACUACUACGUGGUCAUGCUUGCUUUGGACAGCGUGUUCACAGGUUUGUAGCAGAACCAGCUCAUGUUUUGGAGCUUGCUAUUGUAAUUCAUUUCUUGAGAAUCUCGCAACAUCGUCUUGUCGAUUUGUGUUGCAAAAUUUCUUUUCCAGACAUGAUGUCUGAAAUGUCCUGUUCCCGACCAGAUCUGAAUCUCAGGCAGAUAUGAUGGUUGGAACUAUUCUAAGAUAUAUGAUGUAGGUCCCGACAAGGUUGAUGUUGGCCGACACACCUAGCCGAAGAUCUAUUAUUGUAGCAUCUUAACUGAGCAAGUUGACCAUUCUCUCCAUAAGGAUGUCGUGCGACUUAUUUUAGAAGUUGUUCCUUAUGGAUUCUUUGUUCUCCCGAAGUCAGACCUUUACUUGAUGUUCCAGAUACCGACUGGUAUUGGGUUAAACUGGUACAUCAAGGAGAACAUUAGAAGCGGAGUGCUAAAUGUCUCUCGGUCGAUCAUCCAGAUUUUGUCCCCUUGGCCCCGCUAAGGUGAAAUCUGAGAAGGUUAUCUUCCUUUGCAUCUGCAUCGUCCAUCGCUGUUCAUCAUGGUAGUAUGUUGUGUUGCCAGGAUCAUUGACACGGAUGUUGGUAAAACCUUGAUGAAUAUGGAAAUGCUCAAGUUCUUGAGAGAACGCUCAGACACUAGGUUAUAUCUUCGGUAUCGGUCGGAUUGUGCCUUCCAUUUGCCGAUUGUUCUAUACCCAUAGUUCCAUUCCAAAAUCGAGUAUGCCAUUUCUUUGAAUUCCUUCAAACCAUCAUUUGAGAAUUGCCUUAGUCUAGUAUGGAGAGUUUCAAUGAUCUGUUCCGAUAGAGUUUCUUUCCGACAUCAUCGAGUUGGAUGAAGACUUCGCAAGCAAAGACGUCAAGAUCAAUUUGGGUCAACAAAUCAACAACUUCGAGAAGGGCAAAUCGAUCAUGAAGAUUGUGAUAGUUUUGUGACCCCCCUUUCCUCUUACCUCACGUCUUGAAUCUCGGGGCGAGAUUCUUGUUUAGUGGGGGUGAGUUGUCACAUCCCUAGUCCUGGUAUGCAGUAGGCUAGCCCUUCAUGUGUGCAUCAUGUUUAACUUUUGAAAUGAACUUGAAAUGGGGGAUGUUCAAACCCUAGCAUAAAAAGGAAUCCACCAGGUUCAACUAAAAUAUUUUUCAGUGAACCCAAAUGGCCUUCAAAAAUGUUCAUCAUUUUUGGAAAAUGCUGGAAACAGCAACCAGAGGUGAUGCACAUUUUUGCAUGACAUUUUGGAUUGUUGAAUUAACACAUAUUGUAUUUUGAAUUGGAGCUAAUAAAUACUAUAAAUACUUUAUUGCUUCAAUAAUUCUGAUUUUGUUGAGGGGCUUUGGAAUAGUCCUUUUAGUCCCUGCAAAAUUUAUCAGAAGCAACAAAAUUAGUUUGGUUCAAAAACCAAAUUAAAACAAAUGUCAGAAAUAGAAAACAGAAACAAAAUAGAGUAAGGAGAAACUCACCUGGCCUCACCCACCAAAGCCCACCUGGCCGGCCCAGUUGGCCCAGCCCACCACCCUACCCUGCCAGUCGUCUCCUAGCUUAUGCCAGGAGGACGACGCUGUGUCGACGCGCGUGCAACCGAGCUCCACGUCCUGCUUCCACCUCCUGCCUCCCUGCUGGCCUCCCCGACGCGUCUGGACGACGCCACGCGCCACCCCGGUCCCUCUCUCCCACUCCCUUGCCCUUUCCCCGCCUCUGCUCUCUCUCUGCAGCGCGCCCGAACACCCCGCUGCACGCCGACAAGCACCGCCGCAGCCACGACCAUCCCCUAGCCCAACCACCGUGACCAAUAGCCCCGCAAGGGCUCGAAGCAUCUCCUCGACGAGCCACGCAAUCCGGGUUUCACCGCAACACCGCCAACGAUGCCUUCUUCAACCUCAGGACCGCCGGGCAUCUCUGUCAAAUUCGUCGGCUCCGGACUGUCCCCGACCUCGCCGAGCGUCCCCUCGUCAUCGCUGUGAGCCCCCAGUCGCUUCCCCCGUAAUCCCGUCGUCAAUACCCUCCUCUUACCCCCGAUAGCCAACGCGGCUGAGAGCUCCCGCCGCCGGCCAUCUUCACCACCGUGGCUAGAGCAACCACACGUCACACCUGAGAACAUAGGCGUGCUCAGUGCCUUCCUAGGAGGCCGCAGACCACACCAGCUCGAUCUGAGACGCGCUGUAGCGCCUAACCCGUUGAUGCCCGAACUCCGGCCGCCGCCACGAGCUCGCUUCCGGCGAACUCCGGCCACCCCGCGCCCUCCCGUUGCUUUCUCUGGAUGCACGCGGGCACGGGCUACUUUCUGCUUCCCUCGGCGCGUAGAUCCAUCGCCUCUGGCACAACUCCGGCGAACCCCCACCGUCGGCUGUGGUCGUCGCCGGCUAAUCUCCGGCCAGCUGACGUGGCCUAAUUAGUUUAGGCACUAACAACUCCACCUAUCACUGACAUGUGGGCCCCGCCCGGCUAACCAAGUUAGUUAGGGUUAAUUUUAAUUAGGUUAGUUAGUCCAGACACUGACACACGGGACCCACUGGUCAGUUUGACCUGGCCAGCCCUGUUGACUCUGCUGAGGUCAGCAUGACGCCAUGCUGAUGCAAUAAAUAUUUUCUGGAUUUAUUUUUAUACAGGAAAUUCCAGAAAAUAGUAUAAACUUCUAAAAAUCAUAUAAAUUCAACCGUAGCUCAGAAUGAGAUAAAUUAUAUAUGAAAAAUGAUCAGAAAACUCCAAUCUAUCCAUCUGUACUGUUUUCAUGCAUGUUAGAACAACUUAUAGUUGCUGAACUGGGCAAAACAAAUAAUGGCAUUUGAAUAUCCACAUAUGGAGUUUGAAUUUGAACCUAGGGUUCAAACCAACUUCAUUUAACUUGUUGCUAGCAGCAUUAGCUCAAACUACAGCAUAUUGCCAUGUCACAUUGAUGCAUUGCAUUGAUUGUGUUUUCUCUGUGUUGCCGGUAUUUGUCCCCUCUCGAUAGGCUUGGUUUCGACAAUGAGUUCGAUGACACCGAUGAAGAAACUAUAUUAUCUUCAGAAUUGCCAGGCAAGCAAAACCCCCUUGUUCAUUCCGAUAUAAUCCUACUCUCUCGCUCCUGCUCUCUUUUACUGCAUUAGGACAACAACGAUUCAUCUGUUACUUGCUGCGGUAGCUGAACCCCUUUAUCCUCUGCAUGACCUGUCAUUGCCACAGUAAAUAGAUGAAACCCACUAGCAUGAGUAGGAGUUGUUUGAGCCCUGAUGUGCCUACUCAUUCAUGCUUGUUUGUCAUGCCUGCUAUUGCUUAGAGUUGUGUCAGGUCUGAUUCAUCGGGAAUGAAUCGGAGGUGUGUAAACAUGUCCUACUGUUGAGAGCUAAGUGUGUGAACACGAUUUGGUAAAGGUAGCGGUGAGAGGCCAUGUAGGAGUACAUGGUGGGUUGUCUCAUUGCAGCCGUCCUCAGGAACUAAGUUCUGUGUUUG
rnacentral:lncRNA from 1 species